rnacentral:SRP_RNA from 1 species
GCUGGGCAUAGUGGUGUGUGUCUGUAGUCCCAGCUACUUGGGAGGCUGAGGUAGGAGGAUUGCUUGAGUUCAGGAGGUUGAGGCUGCAGUGAGCUGUGAUUGCACCACUACACUCCAGCCUGUGCCACAGAGCAAGACCCUGUCUCAA